rnacentral:rRNA from 1 species
AGCGAACGCUGGCGGUAGGCCUAACACAUGCAAGUCGAACGGCAGCACAGUAAGAGCUUGCUCUUACGGGUGGCGAGUGGCGGACGGGUGAGGAAUACAUCGGAAUCUACUUUUUCGUGGGGGAUAACGUAGGGAAACUUACGCUAAUACCGCAUACGACCUACGGGUGAAAGCAGGGGAUCUUCGGACCUUGCGCGAUUGAAUGAGCGGAUGUCGGAUUAGCUAGUUGGCGGGGUAAAGGCCCACCAAGGCGACGAUCCGUAGCCGGUCUGAGCGGAUGAUCAGCCACAGUCGAACUGGGACACGGUCCCGACUCCUACGGGAGGCAGCAGUGGCGAAUGGUGGACAAUGGGCGCAAGCCUGAUCCAGCCGUACCGCGUGGGUGAAGAAGGCCUUGGGGUUGUAAAGCCCUUUUGUUGGGAAAGAAAAGCAGCAGGUUAAUACCCCGCUGUUCUGACGGUACCCAAAGAAUAAGCACCGGCUAACUUCGUG